rnacentral:rRNA from 1 species
AUUGAACGCUGGCGGUAUGCUUUACACAUGCAAGUCGAACGGCAGCACGGACUUCGGUCUGGUGGCGAGUGGCGAACGGGUGAGUAAUGUAUCGGAACGUGCCCAGUAGUGGGGGAUAACUACUCGAAAGAGUGGCUAAUACCGCAUGAGAUCUCUGGAUGAAAGCGGGGGACCGUAAGGCCUCGCGCUACUGGAGCGGCCGAUAUCAGAUUAGGUAGUUGGUAGGGUAAGAGCCUACCAAGCCAACGAUCUGUAGCUGGUCUGAGAGGACGACCAGCCACACUGGGACUGAGACACGGCCCAGACUCCUACGGGAGGCAGCAGUGGGGAAUUUUGGACAAUGGACGCAAGUCUGAUCCAGCAAUACCGCGUGCAGGACGAAGGCCUUCGGGUUGUAACUAGCUUUGUACGGACGAAAGACCUUCUUCUAAUACAGGAGGUCGAUGACGGUACCGUAAGAAUAAGCACCGGCUAACUACGUGCCAGCAGCCGCGGUAAAC